rnacentral:rRNA from 1 species
UACGUAGGGUGCGAGCGUUGUCCGGAAUUACUGGGCGUAAAGCGCGUGUAGGUGGUGGGACAAGUCUGCUGUGAAAGCGCCUGGCUUAACCGGGCGAGGUCGGCGGAAACUGUUCGACUCGAGGACGGUAGAGGGGGGUAGAAUUCCACGUGUAGCAGUGAAAUGCGUAGAGAUGUGGAGGAAUACCGAUGGCGAAGGCAGCCCCCUGGGAUAACACUGACGCUCAUGCACGAAAGCGUGGGGAGCAAACAGG